CAGCUCGGGUUUCUCUUCAUUCACGCAUAAAUCUUUCACCUUUAACUAAAGUUUUCUGUGGAGAGGAACAUUGAUGAGUUCAACAUACAGUAUUUUUGUGGGCUUUGCAGUUGCAAGGCU